CGGGCUGUAGCGCAGCUUGGUAGCGCAUCUGCUUUGGGAGCAGAGGGUCGCAGGUUCGAAUCCUGUCAGCCCGACCA
rnacentral:tRNA from 5 species